GCGGCGCUCGCCGCACUGGUUGUUCAGCACCUUCGGUCCGGUUGAGGUUGUCAAGUCGGACCAAACAGGUUGUUUCUCUGCAGUUUCCAGUAAGUGACCGUUCCAGCCGGGGCUGUGGCUAGAGUGUGAAGGCAAACCGGUACAUGGCAGGGAGGUUUAAUAGACAUGGAUAAGAAGUCCACUCACAGAAAUCCUGAAGAUGCCAGGGCUGGCAAAUAUGAAGGUAAACACAAACGAAAGAAAAGAAGAAAGCAAAACCAAAACCAGCACCGAUCCCGACAUAGAUCAGUGACGUCUUUUUCUUCAGAUGAUCCUAUGUUUCCUUCUUCCUCAUCAUCGUCUUCAGGAAGCCAGACAGAUUCAAGUAUUGAAGGUAGACAAAAUAUGAAACACCAAGAAAAAGAGAAGGAAAAAAAGGAGGAAACAACCACAUAUGUCACCUUUCCAAG
rnacentral:lncRNA from 1 species